GCGGGCGUAGCUCAGUUGGUAGAGCACGACGUUGCCAACGUCGUUGUCGCCGGUUCGAGCCCGGUCGCCCGCU
rnacentral:tRNA from 1 species